UUCUAAAAUAUGACUUCAGAAAAUGGUGAGCAUGAAAAAUGGUGAAAAUGGUGGACAGAAAAAUGGACAGAAAAAUGGUGGCAUGUGAUUCGCAAAAGGCACAAAGGUUUAACUUGAGAUCAACCAGAAGAUACAGCAGAUAUUAGAUAUCAAUAAACCGCAAAACAUUUGGAAUUUGGAUGAGACUGGGAAGCAGUUUGAUUAUCGACUUGGAAAAACAGUUUCUAAAAAAGGAUUAAGUAUCUACAAUAUUGUCAAUCAGGUAACUGGGAAACAAUGAGAGUAAUAACUUUGUUACCAAUUUCAUUUAAAAAAAAAAACUACUAAUUCUCUGUGGUUGGACAAAGCAAGGCAUUGUAUUUCUAUGGUUUACAAAGACAUUUUGUUCCGGAAAAUUUUGAUUUUUAUAAAUAUAUAUGAAUUUGUUUACUCUUACAAUAUAAUAAAGCUCUUGUUUUUUAA